GCCAACGGCCAUACCGCGCUGGAUCUACCGGUUCCCAUCUGCACACCGAAGUCAAGCAGCGCUGGGUGGGGCCAGUACUUGGAUGGGAGACCGCCUGGGAACUCCCCAUGUCGUUGGCAUCA
rnacentral:rRNA from 1 species